GGCAGCUGAAAGGGAGGACUGUGGCAGGAUGAGUCCUAGGAGGCAAGACUGAGCCCCAGGUAGCAGAAGUUACACAAGAUGGAAGUUAGGGCCUGUGGUCUAAGACAAUGAGAAGACCAAGGCUAGGAAUGAAGCACAUCCUAGAUGACUUGAUGAAAUUUAAGACUGUCACUGCAAAGGGGAACCCUUGAAAGCUCUGGCAAAUCUCCUGGCCCUCAUGGCUGCUGAAAUCUACCAGAAAGCACCCCAAUCCCACAUUACAAAUGGGAUAAUCAGUGUUACCUUCUUUGAAGGAAAUGGUACAGGCAGUCUUGAAGAAAUCUUUACGUAUCACAAGUGGACUAGAUUGUAGAUGGAGUAUAAUGAUACUUCAGAAGGGCUGGGCAUGGUCAGUACUUUGAAGAGAAAUCUCAGUGGAAAAACUCAGAUGCUGCAAGAAGUGAUGUUAUCAGCAUUCUGAAUCAGUGUUAAACUAGUGCCCCAUCGUGGCAUCAGGGGACGUGUCAUACAUAACUGAUGUACAAUUGAAGCCCAGGCUGCUUAUGGUCACUAAAGAUCCUAUGACAAUUUUCUCAAGGACAGGGGUGUCUAGCCCAGUGUCUGUGUGAAAUGAACUAAUUUCAGUCUGCCUAUCAUAAUCUUCUUGUAAUUUUAAUUGAUCCACUGUUGUCUUCACUUCCUGCACUAAACUGUAAUAUAAUAUUGUGCUUUAGUAAGCAUAUGCAUUCCACCACAGAGGUGGCUGCAUUUCACAGAUGGUGGAAGUGAAGUGGUCCCCAUAUCUAAAGCACAGGAAAAGGUUCUGUAUGCACUAGGUAACCCCAUAGUGUGUCUAUCACAAAGGCAGUUCCCUCAGAGUGCUUGUUAGUUCACAGCUGUAAUAAAGCAUAAAUAAACCAA